UAGCUACAGGCUUAACACAUGCAAGUCGAGGGGCAUCAGGAAGAAAGCUUGCUUUCUUUGCCGGCGACCGGCGCACGGGUGAGUAACACGUAUCCAACCUGCCCUUUACUCGGGGAUAGCCUUUCGAAAGAAAGAUUAAUACCCGAUAGUAUAAUGAUUCCGCAUGGUUUCAUUAUUAAAGGAUUCCGGUAAAGGAUGGGGAUGCGUUCCAUUAGGUUGUUGGUGAGGUAACGGCCCACCAAGCCUUCGAUGGAUAGGGGUUCUGAGAGGAAGGUCCCCCACAUUGGAACUGAGACACGGUCCAAACUCCUACGGGAGGCAGCAGUGAGGAAUAUUGGUCAAUGGGCGCUAGCCUGAACCAGCCAAGUAGCGUGAAGGAUGAAGGCUCUAUGGGUCGUAAACUUCUUUUAUAUAAGAAUAAAGUGCAGUAUGUAUACUGUUUUGUAUGUAUUAUAUGAAUAAGGAUCGGCUAACUCCGUGCCAGCAGCCGCGGUAAUACGGAGGAUCCGAGCGUUAUCCGGAUUUAUUGGGUUUAAAGGGAGCGUAGGUGGACUGGUAAGUCAGUUGUGAAAGUUUGCGGCUCAACCGUAAAAUUGCAGUUGAUACUGUCAGUCUUGAGUACAGUAGAGGUGGGCGGAAUUCGUGGUGUAGCGGUGAAAUGCUUAGAUAUCACGAAGAACUCCGAUUGCGAAGGCAGCUCACUGGACUGCAACUGACACUGAUGCUCGAAAGUGUGGGUAUCAAACAGGAUUAGAUACCCUGGUAGUCCACACAGUAAACGAUGAAUACUCGCUGUUUGCGAUAUACAGUAAGCGGCCAAGCGAAAGCAUUAAGUAUUCCACCUGGGGAGUACGCCGGCAACGGUGAAACUCAAAGGAAUUGACGGGGGCCCGCACAAGCGGAGGAACAUGUGGUUUAAUUCGAUGAUACGCGAGGAACCUUACCCGGGCUUAAAUUGCAGUGGAAUGAUGUGGAAACAUGUCAGUGAGCAAUCACCGCUGUGAAGGUGCUGCAUGGUUGUCGUCAGCUCGUGCCGUGAGGUGUCGGCUUAAGUGCCAUAACGAGCGCAACCCUUAUCUUCAGUUACUAACAGGUCAUGCUGAGGACUCUGGAGAGACUGCCGUCGUAAGAUGUGAGGAAGGUGGGGAUGACGUCAAAUCAGCACGGCCCUUACGUCCGGGGCUACACACGUGUUACAAUGGGGGGUACAGAAGGCAGCUAGCGGGUGACCGUAUGCUAAUCCCAAAAGCCUCUCUCAGUUCGGAUCGAAGUCUGCAACCCGACUUCGUGAAGCUGGAUUCGCUAGUAAUCGCGCAUCAGCCACGGCGCGGUGAAUACGUUCCCGGGCCUUGUACACACCGCCCGUCAAGCCAUGGGAGCCGGGGGUACCUGAAGUACGUAACCGCAAGGAUCGUCCUAGGGUAAAACUGGUGACUGGGGCUAAGU
rnacentral:rRNA from 1 species